rfam:Anoxybacillus sp. B7M1, complete genome.
AUGAGAGCAAGGGGAGAGACUACAAAUUGUAGCGCCGAAGGAGCAAGUGGCAACACGAAUCUCUCAGGCAAAAGAACUCUUGCUUGACG